AGGAGAAGGACAUUUUCGGUAAAUAACAUUUUUUUUUUUUUUUCCCUAAUACUGGGAGUUGGUGGUUGCAACUCUGUAGCUUCCUUGCCCAUGGCGUGGUGGUUGUGGCGCUGUGUGGCAGCUGGGAGCUUAUAAGUUAUAACAGCAGAACACGAGGAGGUGCCACCACUAUCAUCCCCGCUAUCAGACAUUCGAGUGCUUGGCGGCCCGUCAGCUACCUGAAAGCAUAGUGAAACACAGCACAAACAUGGCGAAGAAUGAGAAGAUCGCAAUCGUUGGCAGUGGCCUUGUGGGGCGCAGCUGGGCGAUGCUGUUUGCCAGUGUUGGGUAUGAGGUGUCCAUGUUUGAUCUCAAACCACAUCAGGUGACGGAAGCUCUUAGUGACAUCAGUGACCAGUUAAAGAACCUGGAAAAGUCUGGACUUUUGCGUGGCAAGCUUAGUAGCAAUGAACAGUUCAAGUGCAUCAAAGGGAUAAGUAGCCUGAAGGAGUGCAUCAAAGGAGCCAAACACAUCCAGGAGUGUGUCUUUGAAGAUUUGGAACUAAAGAAAAAAGUCUUCAAGGAAAUGGACCAGUUGGUCGGGCCUGACACUGUGUUGUCUUCUUCUACUUCAUGUAUUCUGCCAUCCAAGAUCUCAGCAGACCUCACCCACAAAACUAACUUUAUUGUCUCCCAUCCUGUUAAUCCUCCAUACUAUGUGCCUGCUGUGGAGUUGGUGCCAGCUCCCUGGACCUCUAAAGAUGUGGUGGCGCGCACACAGGCACUCAUGGCGGAGAUUGGACAGUCCCCUGUGGUCUUCACAAGAGAGAUCAAUGGCUUUGGGAUCAACAGAAUACAGUAUGCCAUCCUUAAAGAGUGUGCCCACCUUGUGAAUAAUGGUUUGGUCUCUGCUGAGGGUGUGGAUGUGAUCAUGAAGCAUGGACUGGGUUGCCGUUAUGCUUGGAUGGGGCCUCUAGAGACAGCACUUCUCAAUGCUAAUGGUAUGAAGGAUUACUUAGAGCGGUACGGUAAUUCAAUUGACUUCGUGUCGAGCACCUUCCCGGACAAGGUGUCGUUCCAGCCUGAAGCCUGCACUGAACUCAUCGACCAGCUGGACAAGAUGGUGCCCUUGGAUCAGCUGCAGGCUCGGCGGGAAUGGCGGAACAAGAGACUUUCCGCCCUGGCUAAGCUGAAGAAGGACAUGGAGGAAGAGGAGAAGAGAUCCGUUGGUCAGUAGAGCCUCAGCAGGCUAACUGAAAGCUACAAAAACUACUCUUAAUCUGGAAGGAAUAUUGGUGAAAUGUGCUCACCACUUCACCCGAGUGUUUUUAACCAAGAUUGAAGGUGACACAUGCACAUCACACUCUGCACCAUCAUGAAGUGCAAACAAAGCCAGCACCAUUCCAUCAUGUUACUCACCUGAUCAUUGAAGUAUGCCUCUGACCGCCGCACCUUCUCAAGCUCAAUUUCUCGUGCAAUCAGCUGGCGGGAAUAAUAGGACAACUCCUUUGCUGGCUUGGAGUCACCAAAAAGUACAAUAUCUCCAAUGUCUCUGUAAGAUUUAGUAAUCUUUUAUUAUACAUACAUCAUAUAGACCCCCUUCUUUCCCUAAGUUUGUUUCACUGUUCCUUACAAUCUUUUCCAAAAAGAUCUUAGGAUUAGGAGGUUAACAGCCUACUUGUACUAGAGCAAAAAAUUAUCAACAUAUGGUUAACUGAAAAAUAAAACAAAAAUCACCAAAUUUAUGAGUAAAGAAGCUUAGAAUUCACAUAUUUAUUAUUCAUUAAAGUAAAGAAGAAAAUCAAUAAGGGAUGAAUAUGUAACUCCUCAACCCUCACAUAGGAGAUGGGAGAAGCAGGCAUACUUACGGGUCCAACUUGAAACUGUAUAGUCCAUUAACAUCCUUUUCUUGUAUGUAGGUUAGGUUGUAUCCAAUCAUGGUAUCAACAAGGUUGGCUAACUCCUGCUGCUCCUCCUUACUGUACAACUGAGUGCUUACCUGUCACAAAGCCACAACAGACGAAGAGAUAUAUUAGUGACUUUCCUGUAUAUGUGUGUGUAUGUGUAUAAGAGUGGUAUAGUAAGGAAGCUGGACUCACAGGACGCAGGGUGGGUUGGAUGAUGUGAAUGAGAAAGGGUAGCACAUCACACACAAGUUGGGUAUUGCCAGUGAAGGCUCGGUUGGAAGGACUCAUCUCACUGACCAUAGAGGAUAACAAGUUCUGGUUCUUGGUCAGCUUCUGUUGCAUCUGUUGUGUUACAAGAUGGAUUAAGUUAAUAUUAGUUGUUUCCAUUUAAUUUGCCACAUAGAAAAGUAUUAAUCUAGUGUUAAUGCCACCAGGUACUGACAAUGGCUGAUAUACAUAAACCUGCAGCCGGCCUUUCAAAAUUGUGGUUUCAUAUUUUCUGUAAAGAUAGGUUUUCAAUUCACCUACCAUCUAUAAACCUGACUAAAAUUCCAAUGACAAAGAAUGGCAAAACAAGGUAGCUGCAAGCUCAUACACACAAAUAAUCCACAUGAGUACAUUAAAGACCAUCUUAGCUUUUGGGCUUUUGAAGGUGCAAAAGACAUCCUUACCAACCACCCUUGCAUGUGGGUUAGGUGCACAGGCAUACCUAGGUAUCUCUCCACCAGGGUCUAACAGCUGGAUUGAAUUGUUACAGCUAAAUCUAUUAAAUAAAUUUAAUCAAUACAAAUUU